rnacentral:rRNA from 1 species
CCCUUAGAGUUUGAUCCUGGCUCAGAAUCAACGCUGGCGGCGUGCCUCAGACAUGCAAGUCGAACGAUUAAGACUUCCUUCGGGAAGUGUAUAAAGUGGCGCACGGGUGAGUAACACGUAAGUAAUCUACCCUCGAGUGGGGAAUAACAUCGGGAAGCCGAUGCUAAUACCGCAUAACGCAGUGGCACCGCAAGGUGACAGUUGUUAAAGGAGUAAUUCGCUUGAGGAGGAGCUUGCGGCAGAUUAGCUAGUUGGUAAGGUAACGGCUUACCAAGGCUACGAUCUGUAUCCGGUCUAAGAGGACGGUCGGACACACUGACACUGAAUAACGGGUCAGACUCCUACGGGAGGCAGCAGUCGGGAAUUUUGGGCAAUGGGCGAAAGCCUGACCCAGCAACGCCGCGUGAAGGAUGAAGUAUUUCGGUAUGUAAACUUCGAAAGAAUGGGAAGAAUAAAUGACGGUACCAUUUAUAAGCUCCGGCUAACUACGUGCCAGCAGCCGCGGUAAUACGUAGGGAGCAAGCGUUGUUCGGAUUUACUGGGCGUAAAGGGCGCGUAGGCGGCGCGGUAAGUCAGCUGUGAAAUCUCCGAGCUUAACUCGGAACGGCCAGCUGAUACUGCAGUGCUAGAGUGCAGAAGGGGCAAUGGGAAUUCUUGGUGUAGCGGUGAAAUGCGUAGAUAUCAAGAGGAACACCUGAGGUGAAGACGGGUUGCUGGGCUGACACUGACGCUGAGCGCGAAAGCCAGGGGAGCAAACGGGAUUAGAUACCCCGGUAGUCCUGGCCCUAACGAUGAAUACUUGGUGUCUGGAGUU